rnacentral:ncRNA from 2 species
AUGUCAUAUGAAAGGAGAGAAGGUUAGCACCUUCCUUGAGAAGGAUGGAAGAGGUCCUCGUGGUCUUUACAGCAAAUAUAUGGUUAAGGUAUGCCACCUACUUUUUUCU